AGUUAAGCGACAAGCGUACGCAAUUUAGAUACCGCGGCUUGGAAGUCCCAGGCGAUGAAAGGGCGUGCUAAUCUACGAUAGCGCCACGGUAGUGAUAUGAACCAUAACCGGCGAUAUGCCCAGGCGUAAGGGAAGCAGUGUGAUUCGUCACACUAUCAUUAACUGAAUCCAUAGGUUUAAUGAGGGCGAACCAGGGGCACGAGAACAUCUAAGUACCCCGAGGAAAAGAAAUCAGCAGAGAUUCCCAGUAGCGGCGAGCAGAACGGGGAGGCAGAGCCUGAAUCAGCAUGUGUGUUAGUGGAAGCGUCUGGAAAGAAGGCGCGCGAUACAACUGGCCGCACAAAAGCACGCAUGUGCUGUGAAGCUCGAUGAGUAAGGGCGGGACGGCUCCUGUCUGGCGAAUAUGGGACCAUCGCAGGCUAAAUACUCCUGACUGACCGAUAGUGAACCAGCCAGUACCGUGAGGGAAAGCGAAAAGAACUGGCGAGGGGUGAAAAAGAACCUGAAACCGUGUACGUACAAGCGGUGGGAGCACAGGUUUUACCUGUGUGACUGCGUACGCAGCACGUAUAAUGGUCGAAGACUUAUAAUUCUGGCAGCAGGUUAACAUACCUGGGAGCCGGAGGAAACCGGAAGUCUUAACCAGCGUUAAGAUUUUGCGGUACGCGGGCGAAACGGUACGAUCUAUACAUGGGCAGGUUGAAGGUUUGGUGCUAACUGGAGGACCGAACAAAUAUUUGAAAAAUUGGCGGAUUGACCUGUGGCUGGGGUGAAAGGCCAAUCAAACCGGGAGAUAGCUGGUUCUCCCGAAAGCUAUUUAGGUAGCGCCUCGUGAAUUCAUCUCGGGGGUAAGAGCACUGUUUCAGCUGGGGGCCAUCCGAAGCUUGCAACCCGAUACAAACUGCGAAUACCGGAGAAUGUUAUCACGGGAGACACACGGCGAAAUUGCUGGCGUCCGUCGUGAAGAGGAAAACAUAGCAGACCGCCAGCUGAAUUCCACAAAAGUCAUGGUUAGGAAGUGGAAACGAUGUGAAAUUUUGAGCAGCCGGGAUGUUGGCUUAGAAGCAGCCAUCAUUUAAAAAGAAAGCGUAGCUCACUGGUCGAGUCGUACGCGGGAAGAUGUAACAGGAGAAGCUGAAGCGUACCGAAGCUGCGGCAGCGGCAGCUUAUGCGUUGUUGGUAGAGGCGUUCUGCCAUAAAGCACCGAGAGUAGCCUGUGAGGUUGCUGGAGGUAUCAAGUGCGAAUGCUGACAUAAGUAACGAUAAAGCGGUGAAAGCCGCUCGCCGGAACCAGGGUUCCUGUCAGCGUUAAUCGGGGCAGGGUGAGUCGACCUAAAGGCGAGCCGAAGAGGCGUAGUCGAUGAAACGGGUUAAUAUUCCCGUACUUGGUGUUACUGCGAGGGGGACGGAGAAGGCUAUGUUGGCCGGGCGGUGAUUUGUCUGAUUUAAGCGUGUGGUGUGUUCGAGGUAAAUCCGGUUCGCUUUAACACUGAGGCGUGAUGACGGUACUACGGUGCUGAAGCGGCAAAUGCCCUGCUUCGGGAAAAGCCUCACAAGCAUCAGGUAACAUCAAAUCAUUUACUAAACCAUUUUACAGGUGGUCAGGUAAGAAAUACCAAGAGCGCUUGAGAGAACUCGGGUGAAGGAACUAGGCAAAAUGGUGCCCGCUUCGGGAAAGGCACGCUGACACGUAGGUGAAGUGAAUUUACUCACGGGCAGCUGAAGUCAGUCGAAUACCAGCAGCUGCAGCUGUUUAUUAAAAAACACAGCACUGUGCAAACACGAAAGUGGACGUAUACGGUGACGCCUGCGGUGCCGGAAGGUUAAUUGAUGCGGUCAGCGCGAAGCAGCGAAACUCCUGAUCGAAGCCCCCGGUAAACAGCGGCCAUGCUAUAACGGUCCUAAGGUAGCGAAAAUUCCUUGUCGGGUAAGUUCGACCUGCACGAAUGGCGUAAUGAUGGCGAGCUACACUCCGCAGAACUCAGUGAAAGUGAACUCGCUGUGAAAGUGCAGUGUACCGCCGCGGCAAAGACGGAAAGACACGUGAACACUAUAGCGGCACUGAACGUGAGCCUUGAUGUGUAGGAUAGGUGGGAGGCUUUGAAGUGUGGACGCCAGUCUGCAUGGAGCCGACAGCAAAUACCACCCUUUAAUGUUUGAUGUUCACAACGUGGACCCGUAAUCAGGUUGCGGACAGUGUCUGGGCCCAUUGUAGUUUGACUGGGGCGGUCUCUCAAAGUAACGGAGGAGCACAGGUUAGUAAUCUGGUCCGGACAUCAAGGAGGUUAGUGCAAUGUAUAAGCCAGCUUGACUGCAGGCGUGACGGCGGCAGCAGGUCAUAGUGAUCCGCGGUGGUUCUGAAUGGAAGGCCAUCGCUCAACGGAUAAGGUACUCCGGGAUAACGGAGAAACGAUACCGCCCAGAGUUCUAUCGACGGCGGUGUUGGCAAAUGUCAGAGCUCAUCAUCCUGGAACAGAAGUAGGUCCCAAGGGUAUGGCUGUUCGCCAUUUAAAGUGGUACGCGAGCUGGGUUUGGGAACGUCGUGAGACAGUUCGGUCCCCUAUCUGCCGUGGGCGCUGGAGAACUGAGGGGGCUGCUCCUAGUACGAGAGGACCGGAGUGGACGCAUCACUGGUAUUCAGGUUGUCAUGCCAAUGGCACUGCUUGACUAAAUGGAAGAAUGGUGCUGAAAGCAUCUAAGCACGAAACUGCCCCGGAUGAGUUCUCCUGAGACUUAGAGUCUCUCCUGAAGGAACUACGUUGGUGACGACGUUGAUAGGCCGGGUGUAAGCGCGGCGAUGCGUUGAAGCUAACCGGUACUAAUGAACCGUGAGGCUUAACCUU
rnacentral:rRNA from 1 species